UACGUAGGGUGCGAGCGUUGUCCGGAAUUAUUGGGCGUAAAGCGCGUGUAGGCGGUCCGGUAAGUCCGCUGUGAAAGUCGGGGGCUCAACCCUCGAAUGCCGGUGGAUACUGUCGGGCUAGAGUGCGGAAGAGGCGAGUGGAAUUCCUGGUGUAGCGGUGAAAUGCGCAGAUAUCAGGAGGAACACCAAUUGCGAAGGCAGCUCGCUGGGACGUUACUGACGCUGAGACGCGAAAGCGUGGGGAGCAAACAGG
rnacentral:rRNA from 1 species